UUUUUUCCUCAUAUCAGAAUAUUAUUGCAGGCCAUCCAAUGUUGACCAUCCCCGCUAUAAGUAGUGUAGUGGUUCCCAUAGCUGAUUAUAUUAUGCAGCUGGCAUAGUGCCCACUCAAGGCACUUUUCCCAAUCGACCUGUGAAGAGAUGAUCAGAUAAGUACAGGGCGUAGUCUGCCUUUCACCCAAGGUACAUAGAUACCGACUCUCAAGAGGUUAACCGAUUUUUAAAUGGUGAGAGGAUGUUUGCUGUAGUACCAAGUCUUGCCUGUGAGAGGCAGCGUGUUGCCACAGCAUCUGGACUGCCGGAAAGAACAAAGAAGAGCAACUUAAAGAAGCUAAGCUAACUGGUAUUAUCUGGUAACUAGUUAGCUGAUGUCAGCCCUACACUAAUUUUGAUCACAAGGGAGGAAAAAUUCAAAUGUUUGGCAUGCUUGGUGAAUGGUCAUUAGUGUCUGCUUACACCAGAGAGCCUGGCCAGCUGGUCUAUGACGUCUGAUGUGCCACUUGGUGGUAAACUACAUCAAGACCCCCGUGGCAGAGUCACUGAGGCCCAGCAACUCUUCUCCCCAGGCAGGAUGCAGAGGCUAUGGCGAGCCCUCGGCAGAUGGAGCCUCCAGCGUUUCUGCUCUCCUGCAAAUAUUAAAAAAAAAAAAAAAAAAAAAAAGAAAAAGAGAGCGAGAGUUGGAGCAAGCGCCAGAGAUGAGACACGGCCCGCCUCAGCCCAUCACAGAUGCCAGGAGAAGGCAGGGAUUUUGUCGAGCCCCCCUGCGAGACGGGUCCAGUUGGAACAGGUGCAGUGUCGUCUCCCUCGGUCCCUUUGUCAGCACCUCAGUGGUGGAGCCUUUGCUCUCUUCCUGUCCCGACUCCUUCUCAUUCACACACUUGAGAGGUGUUGCGGGACUACUUCCAGCCCCUCCUGAAAGCCAGCCGCAGAUCUGUCCAUGCAUCCUCAUUUCUAAAGGCCAGAUCCACCCCCAGCGUGGCAUUGUGUUCUUCCUUCAACAGG